CAAAAUAAUGUGGAGAGUUGAUUUCCUUUUGCUUCUGCAUAUUUUUAAUUUUAUGUACCGUUAAUUGCUUUGCAACCUAACUUUAAUAUAUGUAUAUCAGUGGAAGUCUGUUACAGAAUUACAGAUUUAUGGUACAAAUUAUUUUAAUAAUUAUAUUAAAAGUUAACCAUCGAACGAAGUAAAAUAAUAAAAGUACAGGUGGUACAAAUCAACAAUUUAUAACAACAAUCUGAUACCAUGGAAAAGAAGACAAAAUCAGGCUGCAAAAACUAUAAGCACAAACAUCGUGCUUAGAUGUAAACUAAUUUCAUAAUUCUAAAUUCUAAUGAAUUCAUGAUUGUAAAACAACGAGCUGAUGAUCAUAAGAGUUUGUGAUGUGGUUUGAUUGAUGACAACAUGGAUUAUUUUGAACAAGAUGUUUACAACGGCGUUGUUCCUUUUAUGUGGAUAAGGUUCAAAUCAAUAUGCAUAAGCAUAUAAGCAGGAUUAUGACAGAUUACAUAACAUCUGAUUAGUGGGCGCCAAAAAUCACAAUCAACAAUAGAGACAUCAUUGUACAUCAGCAUACUUCCAUGGAGAAGAUACUGAAUUUCCUCCACACCUGACAAAGCAGUUAUUUGGUUAUGCCAGCAGGAACAAUUUGGAAUUCCUGGUUGGAUGCGAACUAAGCUUUCAUUACAACAAUUGAGAAAGUAUCAACAUCAACUCCAGAAGUUAGUGUUGUUUUAAUUUUAUAUUGUCUCUAGACUUAAACAUGUAUAAUGUAGGUAGUAAUAUUAUCUAAGAUAAUAUCAUUUGAAACACGUCUCUAAUAACAGAUAUUGCAAGCGAUAGAGCGUGUAUCUUUAAAACUAGCGGCUGAACUAUAGUGCCACAUACAUUUCGGCCAGGUUUGUCCAUUUCUGAUGUCUAUAAAUACUAGUGUCUCUGUUUUAAUUUUUUUUAACUUCUUUUACUAAUUGUUCCCAAACAUUUUUAUAAAAUGAUAAGAUUGUAUAAUUACA